rnacentral:lncRNA from 10 species
CCGGAGGACUCCGGCCCUGAGCUUCCGGAAGGGACAUCUGGGGAAGGUGGGGGGGUGGAAACGCGACAGGUUCAUGAAUUAUCCAUCAAGAAUGUCUCAAUGCUUUGAAUAUGCGGGAAAGGACUAGGACGUAUCCUUGUUUUUCGGAGGUCCCUACUUAGGUCCAGUUAGAAACUCUCCCAGCCAUCAAAAUCUGUCUCUCUGACACAUCCCUUACUUUACUUUGGUCUUUUCUUGUUGCCCAUACCCACAUCUCUAUCCCCUUACCCUGUUUUACUUAAAUAUAGCACUUAUUACUGCCUGAUUUAUUGUUUGCUGUCCACCUCUCCCAACUAAAAUAUUGGCUACAGGACAGCGAGGACUGAAUUGUUCGUUGCUGUAUCCUCAUAUCCUGGCAGUUAAGUGGUCUGUAAACUCUUGUUGUAUAAAUGAACUAUAGUUCAUUAUGAACACCUAAAUAUGAACCCUUUUAGGAAGCCUUGCCUGAUUGCUCCAACCUGUAAUGGUCCCUCUGAAUUCCCAUAGUAUUUAAUACGUACCUUUUAUUGAUAUUUUAACUAUUUCAUACAUGUGAUUCCCCAGCAAGAUUGUCAGUUCCUCAUGGAAGGAAAUACGUUGCUUUGCUGAGCAUAUAGUAAAUGCUGAAUAUGUUGUUUGAACAAGUGAAUGCUGUUACAAGCGUGCACCCCGACCUGGCCAGAAUCCCCCUGGGCUCAGCUCUAAGCAGAACUGAGGUCUCUCCUACUAAUGGUAAGAGCCUCUUGCUGAGAAAAAUAACCUUUUUUUUUUUUUUUUAAAGACAGAGUGUCACCCUGUUGCCCAGGCUGGAGUGCAUUGGCGCCAUCUUGGCUCACUGCAACCUCUGCCUCCUGGGUUCAAGCGAUUCUCCUGCCUCAGCCUCCCUAGCAGCUGGGAUGACAGUCGCCCGCCACCACACCGGGCUAAUUUUUUGUAUCUUUAGUGGAGUCGGGGUUUCACCAUGUUGGCCAGGCUGGUCUCGAACUCCUGACCUCAACUGAUCCACCUGUCUCAGCCUCCCAAAGUGCUGGGAUUACAGGCGUGAGCCACCACGCCCAGCAAAAAAUAACUUUAACAGAAAUAAUUAUAAUGCUCAUUUUACAGAUAAUGAAAAUAAGCCUGUAAAGGAUUAAGUGAUUUUUUCCCCCAAGGUCAAAGCAAGAAAGUAACAAAGUACGCCUUUAAAUAUUUAAAUAGAUGAUGCAUUUCAUUGUAAUUGUAGUUUGUAUCUUUUUUAAAGUGUCUGUUCCCUUUAUCACAUUUUUGGGCUCAGCACUCAGUCUCUGUUGACUGAGUAGCAACAGUUGGCAGAGUAAGGAUUUUAAGGGCUCAGAUGUGACCAGACCUAUUGCUGUGUGGGUUAGAGAUUGCUGAUUCAAGAAACCUUGACAUCAGGGGCUGGUAUUGAAAGGUGGGAACAGGAAAUAGUAAUAAUAGCUAUACGUUCUGGUUCUCCUCCUGCUCUUUUCCUAUUUAUGUUAACUGGGCACUUCCUGGGUCUCCGUGUCUCCGUCAGCCCUAUUCCUGCCCUUGCUAUAAGAAGG